rnacentral:rRNA from 1 species
UCUACGGGAGGCAGCAGUGAGGAAUAUUGGUCAAUGGGCGCGAGCCUGAACCAGCCAAGUAGCGUGAAGGAUGACUGCCCUACGGGUUGUAAACUUCUUUUAUAAAGGAAUAAAGUGAGGCACGUGUGCCUUUUUGUAUGUACUUUAUGAAUAAGGAUCGGAUAACUCCGUGCCAGCAGCCGCGGUAAUACGGAGGAUCCGAGCGUUCUCCGGAUUUAUUGGGUUUAAAGGGAGCGUAGAUGGGUUGUUAAGUCAGUUGUGAAAGUUUGCGGUUCAACCGUAAAAUUGCAAUUGAUACUGGCAGUCUUGAGUACAGUUGAGGGAGGCGGAAUUCGUGGUGUAGCGGUGAACUGCGUAGAUAUCACGAAGAACUCCGAUUGCGAAGGCAGCUUACUAAACUGCCACUGACAUUGAUGCUCGAAAGUGUGGGUAUCAAACAGGAUUAGAUACCCCUGUAGUC